ACUUCCGAUCCCGAUCAGCAUGAG
rnacentral:piRNA from 1 species